UGGGCAACCUGCCCCUAGCUCUGGGAUAACUGCGGGAAACUGUAGCUAAUACCGGAUGUGACACGAGACUGCAUGGUCUUCGUGUGGAAAGAUUUAUCGGCUAGGGAUGGGCCCGCGGUCUAUCAGCUUGUUGGUGGGUAAUGGCUCACCGAGGCGACGACGGAUAACCGGCCUGAGAGGGCGACCGGUCACACUGGGACUGAGACACGGCCCAGACCUCCGUACGGGA
rnacentral:rRNA from 1 species